CCUACGGGAGGCUGCAGUGGGGAAUAUUGGGCAAUGGGCGCAAGCCUGACCCAGCGACGCCGCGUGAGGGAAGAAGGCCUUUGGGUCGUAAACCUCUGUUGUAUGGGAAGAAGGAAGUGACGGUACCAUACGAGGAAGUCCCGGCUAACUACGUGCCAGCAGCCGCGGUAAUACGUAGGGGACGAGCGUUGUCCGGAAUUACUGGGCGUAAAGGGCGCGCAGGCGGUAGUAUGUGUCAGAUGUAAAAGGCUAAGGCUUAACCAUAGUUAGCAUUUGAAACUGUAUUACUUGAGUGCAGGAGAGGUAAGCGGAAUUCCUAGUGUAGCGGUGAAAUGCGUAGAUAUUAGGAGGAACACCAGUGGCGAAGGCGGCCAACUGGACGAGUACUGACGCUGAGGUACGAAAGCGUGGGUAGCAAACAGGAUUAGAUACCCCAGUAGUC
rnacentral:rRNA from 1 species